CUGAAAAUAAAGUACGAAAAUAAAAUAAAACCAAAAAUAAACUUAAAUAUAAAACAUACUAAAAUAGUAAAAUUAAUAGAAUAAACUAUAGAGUUGCCUAAGAAGAAUAGUAGAGGAAUAUGUAUCAAAAUGCACUGAUCAAAUUCCCUCACACUUGAACUUUUGCACUCCGAGCAAAAUUAUAAAUUCAAAACUUAAAACAGAAAAAAAAAAAAAAUAAGAACAAACGAAGCAUGCAAUUCCAAAGUUUAUCAAGAUACAAGAUACAAGUAGAAUUCUAAGUCUAAGCUUCAAUAAUAUGGUGUUAGUGAGCAACUUUUUAUGACAUUCAAAGA
rnacentral:lncRNA from 1 species